CUACAAAUACAGAUAAUAAUAGAUCAUACACCAGACAUUCAGCAAUACAUAGGUACAGAUAUAUUACAUGAAAUUAUAUAGCUGAAUAGCUGUAGUCAUCUUCCUGAGGACCCUGGGAGAGAACUGUAAAUAUGACGAAGGCUCCAUACAAUAUUGUGACAAUAGCUGUGAAGUUUACAAGGUAUGCCUCGGCACCAUAUUUAUCAAGCCCUGAGUUCUCAAGGAAUGUAAGCUUCUCCAGGAACCCUAAGGUGGCAUUGCCAACUGCCAAGAUGUAUACAAACAGCCCCAACAGUACAUGCCAUGGAAGUGAUUCGCUUCUUAAUCCGGUCGACCCUCCAGGGUAGAAGAAUAUGAGAAACCCAUAUAUCCACUGCAAGUUAUAAUUUCCAUUUCAAAACACAGUGCCUUUGGCAAUUUUAUGCUGCUACAACUUGGUUCACACUAAUGUCCUUUUAGGAUCUACUAAUGAAGAUAUACCCAAGUUAUCUAACUUUCAACUCUCUUCUGAAAUUGCUAUAUCAGACUUAGAUAUGUAUUCCAUAAGGUAUAUAUACUCAAUUUUUUUGGUAAAAGUACCACGGAGGCCGUUGUAUUAGGAGUUAGAUUGUAUUUUGUCUCCUCAACUGAAAAAAUAGACAAAUUACUCUCUGUACAUUAGAUCAAAGAGCAAAUUAGUCUUUUCUCUUAAAAGUUUCAUCCAUUUAUAAUAUUAAAAACUAGCAUAAUGAUGUAUAAGAACCAGUUUUUAACAAUAAAAAUGGAUAAAUUUUUUAAAAUAAAGACCAAUUUACUUUUUGAUCCAACUCCUAGUAUAGGGUAUUUAUGAUACUUUUACCCAAAUUUUCAUGUUUUUCCACUUUCAGAUACGUGAAAAAUGAAAAAUCCCACACUAGAAGUGAAAAGCAAAAUAAUUUGGAGAAAAGUUUGGAAUCAAGUGAUUUAUAUUAUUAUUACCUGAAUGCCAUAAAGGGUAAUGAUUCCAAUCCCAAGCCAAGAAUGCACGCUGUAGAGAUUAGGUAUUGAACUCUCAUUAUGAUUCUUGAAUGCCGUAUAGAUUCCAAUAAUGCCUAGAAUCAGAGCAGUGGCAUGGAGCACAAGAUGUAUGACUUUCUUAACUUCCUUCUUCAGUGGCAAAGACU
rnacentral:lncRNA from 1 species